CGAGUGGCGAACGGGUGAGUAACGCGUGAGGAACCUGCCUCAAAGAGGGGGACAACAGUUGGAAACGACUGCUAAUACCGCAUAAGCCCACAGCUCGGCAUCGAGCAGAGGGAAAAGGAGUGAUCCGCUUUGAGAUGGCCUCGCGUCCGAUUAGCUGGUUGGUGAGGUAACGGCCCACCAAGGCGACGAUCGGUAGCCGGACUGAGAGGUUGAACGGCCACAUUGGGACUGAGACACGGCCCAGACUCCUACGGGAGGCAGCAGUGGGGAAUAUUGCACAAUGGGGGAAACCCUGAUGCAGCGACGCCGCGUGGAGGAAGAAGGUCUUCGGAUUGUAAACUCCUGUUGUUGAGGAAGAUAAUGACGGUACUCAACAAGGAAGUGACGGCUAACUACGUGCCAGCAGCCGCGGUAAAACGUAGGUCACAAGCGUUGUCCGGAAUUACUGGGUGUAAAGGGAGCGCAGGCGGGAAAGCAAGUUGGAAGUGAAAUCCAUGGGCUCAACCCAUGAACUGCUUUCAAAACUGUUUUUCUUGAGUAGUGCAGAGGUAGGCGGAAUUCCCGGUGUAGCGGUGGAAUGCGUAGAUAUCGGGAGGAACACCAGUGGCGAAGGCGGCCUACUGGGCACCAACUGACGCUGAGGCUCGAAAGUGUGGGUAGCAAACAGGAUUAGAUACCCUGGUAGUCCACACUGUAAACGAUGAUUACUAGGUGUUGGAGGAUUGACCCCUUCAGUGCCGCA
rnacentral:rRNA from 1 species